CUCCGCGCGUUUUUCUCUCUCCGAUUAUCGCUUUCGUACGUAAAGGGCUGCGUUCGUUGGUGCAGAUUCACUCUGCCCAACUGUAUCAUUUUAUCCUUGUUCAAUAUUCGGUGAAUAAGAAGGAUAAAAUGAUGUACGUGUCUGCGGUAGUGCAACACUGCGCGUAAUCGAAUGCACACGAAAUAUCGCGAUCGCGUUGAGUGUCCCGCUGAAGUUUGGUGAUUCGUGUACUGCGAAAGAGAGGCAUUGACAUAUCAUCGUUCAGUGUUCUUCCACCGGAGCAUUAUAUUCGAUGGGUUUGGUGCUCGGCAUAUUCUCCCGAGAUCCCUUUCGUCGCUGGGAGAACGAGGAGCUCAGAUGCAUCAUAAAGUAGAGAACUCGAGAAGCGCGUCAUUACACGUAAGCGUUACGGAGGGAUAAAACGAUGUAGACGCAGGAGGUGGUAAAGCGAGGAGAAUCACGGGAAGAGAAUCGGCGAAGAGGAGAAAAGCGGAGCGGUACACCGAAGACUAUUACGAAGUGGAGAAGGAUCGAAGAGACGUAAUACGAGGGUAAAAAAGUGGACGGGGACGAAGGAACAAAGAAGAAAAGGACGAAAAGGCUCUU